UACGGAAGGGGCAAGCGUUGUUCGGAAUCAUUGGGCGUAAAGGGCGCGUAGGUGGUUCUGUAUGUCUACCGUGAAAGCAUACAGCUCAACUGUAUUGUGUCGGUAGAAACUGCAGGACUUGAGGCUGGGAGGGGCUGGUGGAAUUCCCUGUGUAGCGGUGAAAUGCGUAGAGAUGGGGGAGAACACUCGUGGCGAAGGCGGCCAGCUAGACCAGUUCUGACACUGAGGCGCGACAGCGUGGGGAGCAAACAGG
rnacentral:rRNA from 1 species